rnacentral:rRNA from 1 species
GACAGAGGGUGCAAACGUUGUUCGGAAUUACUGGGCGUAAAGCGCGUGUAGGCGGCUAAGUAAGUCGGGCGUGAAAUCCCACGGCUCAACCGUGGAAGUGCACUCGAAACUGCGUAGCUAGAGUCCUGGAGAGGAAGGUGGAAUGCUUGGUGUAGAGGUGAAAUUCAUAGAUAUCAAGCGGAACACCGGUGGCGAAGGCGGCCUUCUGGACAGUGACUGACGCUGAGACGCGAAAGCGUGGGGAGCAAACAGG